rnacentral:rRNA from 1 species
UGGGGAAUCUUAGACAAUGGGCGAAAGCCUGAUCUAGCCAUGCCGCGUGAGUGACGAAGGCCCUAGGGUCGUAAAGCUCUUUCGCCAGGGAAGAUAAUGACGGUACCUGGUAAAGAAACCCCGGCUAACUCCGUGCCAGCAGCCGCGGUAAUACGGAGGGGGUUAGCGUUGUUCGGAAUUACUGGGCGUAAAGCGCACGUAGGCGGACCAGUCAGUCAGAGGUGAAAUCCCAGGGCUCAACCCUGGAACUGCCUUUGAUACUGCUGGUCUCGAGUCCGAGAGAGGUGAGUGGAAUUCCGAGUGUAGAGGUGAAAUUCGUAGAUAUUCGGAGGAACACCAGUGGCGAAGGCGGCUCACUGGCUCGGUACUGACGCUGAGGUGCGAAAGCGUGGGGAGCAAACAGGAUUAGAUACCCCGGUAGUCC